UAAAAAGUCUGCUAUAUUUUUUUGAGUGGGGAUUCUUUCUAAUACAAAAAUAGCAAGACUUGAAACAUAGCAUAUGUCCACCAGCAGCGAAUGACUGGUUGAAUAAGCUACACAAUGAAGACUCAGAGACUGCAAAAAGAACCACGGACUCCUCGACAUACUACUGCAGAGUUUUUCCGUGAAUAAAGCAAGAUCAGUUUCUUGUGAAUUUGGUGACAGUGAAUCAGUUUCUUUAAGCUUGGUCAAUUUUGAUUUUGCAGAUAUAAAAAAAAAUCAAAUUUCUACAGUCAAAUGCUCUGCUACUAACAAACGGAGUUUCUGGA